CCACCAGGAGAGGGAAGAUCGCUGCCCACUCAGGCCGGUUCCUGCACAAACUAACAGAUACUGUGCAAACGGACAGAGCUGUCGUCCACUGAGGCCCUCAGCUCCAAGUUCCACAAGUCAGCACUGGCUAAGCAGGAUUUACAAUCUGUUUUAUGCUAAAACCUUGAGGAUCACACACAGGUGAUCUUCAGUCAUAAGUGGAAAUCCGGUCAACUGUUGACAAGGAGCAUCUGCAUUACAGAAGCUGCGACUGACGAGGCAUGGGGGCCAAACACUGACAUGACACUGCUUAGACACGACUGGAGUUUCCUAAGCAACCCAGGAGAUGCUGCUGCACAUCUCUGAAGCAUCACUUGAGAACUCAGUCCCCAGGCAUAGGGAAACUGGUCUAAUCCAGAAGACAAAGACUGGUAACUAAAAUGAUCAGGAUGCUCAGCUGAAAGGAGACAGAAUCACCGUAUUCCAUGGAGUACAGUCCUCUCCUAAGGGUUUUUCCAGACCGUCCAUGCCAAGAUUCUUCGUUGAGACGCACAAUUCACACCGCUGCCUUCUGUCCAGUUUUGAAACCUUCCCUCUCUCAUGAAGACCACUGUACUCUGCAGUCUAGGGGUUUAGUCCACUUCUCUGCUCCUAGAAGUUAGACAACAAGUAUGGAGGAAUGCUUCAGAGGAUCCAGACUCUGAAUACUGGCCGUGGGAACUGGUAAUUACAUCUACUUCUGAUUUCAGACACCAGCUCACUGCUGCUGAGCUUCCAUCCCGGACUCCACCCAUGCAGAAGAGGGUUAAAGACACUCUCGAGCAUGCUGUGCUGAGGACUCUGUGAGAUGGUUCAUGCUCCCUGUGGCCUCCGCAUGCACCAAGCACUCUGGGAGUGAGAUAAGGGAUCAGGCUAUGACUCUGUGGUACAGUGCUUGCCUAGCGUGUGCAUGCUUUGCCUAGGAUGUGCAGAGGGCUCUGGCCCGCAUCCCCAGUGCGGAGGAAACAAAGGAGAUGCUACUGCCAUGGUCACUACUAAUCUUACUGGGCUUUAUGGCAUGGCAGACGCUGGCGUUAAACAGAGUUUAUGGAAAGUGGUUUGUGUGUCUUCUGAUAUGCUUGCUGCUUUUCUUCGGGGACCUAUAACCCUCACAGAAUCUGUCAAAGCCACUGCAUUUCUUCUCCAGCUCCAAAUACACUCUGACCGGCAACUCUUCUGGGCUGGACGAACCUUCCUGGAAUGGGUUGUUGAUUGUUAAGUACCAGAUCUGAGGCUCCAGCUCCAUCUCAGAAGCCACCUUCUCCCUGGCCACUGCUCCCCAAAGUUCGUUUCUCCCGCUAGGCUGCAUUUCAGUUAUUAUUGUACCAGACAGUACAUUGCACAUUUGACAUGGAAUAGAAAGAGCUACCAACUUACUGUGGAACUGCUGGAACACGGGAGCUGUCUCCUACAUGCCUGUAUCGCUUAGAGAGUCCCUGUGAUAUGUUGGCAUCUGAUACAUGUUUGCUGGUUUGUCUUCUGGCUCUCACUCGUCUCUGCCACUUAUUCCCAUGACGAUCUUUUCUUCCUCGGAAAUUCCCUUCACUCCUGGAUGCCCAGAAUCUAUAUGACAAUCUUUCGCUUUGUGGGAGGCACUCUGCCAUAUGCCAUGGAACAGGCAGGUUUACCUCAAAAGAAACUUUAUGUGGUAAUAAACCUGAUUAACUGUCAGAAAAUUUGAGACACGUCUAAGAUGCGCUUCAGUAAGGCUCCGGAAGACGACUUAAGUGAGAGGUGUGUCCUAGGUUAUCAGGAAGAAACAAGACAGACGCUGCUUCUCUCUUCUCCAUCCACAAAAUAAAUGGAGCUAAAGGACACAGCCCUCCUCUGGUGGCAGGGAGAUGGAGGGCGUGGGGGCUUGACUCACAACCCUUCCAAUGGAAGCUGGCACUGCUCUGUUUUUUUUCUUCUUUCAUUUUUUUAAUGAACUGCAGAAAAUCUGUGUUUUUACAUGAAAUCCGAUUGACUCUAAUCUGAAAGCUGUAAAACACUGAGUUAUGCAAAUGCUCCGUGGAUGAGAGCAGUGAGAUCUAUCACACGCUUCCAGGUCCCAACUACACACGUGUUUCUACACGAAGAGAAAGGCACACGGUUGCAGGUGGGGAUGCCCUGGCUGGUCACCAGGGAGGGAGACAGGCUCCUGGCACGCACCUGGCACUUCUGUCUUCCGGUCUGACCUUACGCUCUUUCCUGUCGGUGCUGACCUCGACCCGCAGCUCAGUAACAGUGGCCUGGCUUUCAAACACUGGUGUGUAGCUCAUCAGAGCUCUCUCGUGUCUGCAGAGAGUAAAUCUUCAGUCCUGCUUUUGAAUUCCCAUCCUCAGGCUGCUGCUAACGGGUUCCGUUCUACCUUCCCAGACUUGGCCAAGUUGUCCUUCACAGUUCAGCCCUCUUGAGUUUCUUGAGAACACUUGUGUAGGGGUCAUGUGGCCAGUGAGCUACUCUCAACACUUGGGCAUAAUUUUAAUUAAUCUCCUGGCUAUUGAUCUCCAUUUCAACAUAUGGCUAUGCCACAUUGGUGAUUUCUUUGGAAUGGCCACUACUGAUGAAAUUGUAAUUAUCGCUUUCAGUGACUGUUUCCUCUUUAUCACUCUCUCGGCUUCACACAAGCAAGUCUUAGCCAUCUCCUGCACCCAGUCCUUCAUUUGUGCUUCUUUGUAACUGACUGAGGAAAAAGAUCUCUUGAAUUUCCCUUCUCAAUCGCUACAGAACUCUUUAGUUCAGUCCUUUGACAGCUCAUACCAGCCCAAGCUCUCAUCUUCCUUUCUCCUUUUGUCGCCUUUACUUAUCAUUUGUAUCAACUAACAAGAUGCAUUGUAAGGGGUGUCUAUUUUUUCUUUUCAUUCUAGAUAAAGAAAGCAGAGGGCUGAAAAAAACCCAAACCUGGCAUGAAAGAUCUCAAAUAAAUCUCUUGUGUUUAUGACAGAUGCUGCUGAGUUCUUAGAAAACAUUUCAGUUAUUGAGCCCUUUGGACUGGAGUAUUUACUCCAGAGUCUACAUUCUGGCUUCCCACAAGCCGAUGAGACAGGUAGGGCUUCAUCGCUGGGAAAGUCAAGGUUCAGAACUGCUGACUUAGCUCAGGAUACCACACUUGUAAGUCAUACAGUGAGGCCCGGAGCUCUGGCCGCAGCUGUAAGCUAGGCAAAGGCCUCCACAGGACUGCCCCAGUUUCCGGAAGCUGCUGCAGCUCAGCGAAGCCCACAGAGCAGGACUGUGUAAGGAAUGACUAACAGAAGGUCCAUAGACCAGGCAAAUAUGGGGGAAGCUCUUAAUGGCUCCUGUCUUUUGCCGAAUAAGCACUGAAAAAACUUAUCAUUAAAUAUAAGAGUCCCAUAGAAGGGUCUGGUUUGGGGCAGUCUGUGUCAUUCAAUGUCAAGGGCAGGAAAAAAAAACAAUCUCUGACUCUAUUUCAGCUUUCCAGAGGAAGUCACAUAAAAUAUACUUUGAGGAAAGUCAGCUUGUUUUGUUCUUAGGUCUUUGUUCUUUUCGUAUUUAUCUUUGCUGAGGAAUCUCUUCUCUUCGCGGUCCUCAGAUCUCUAAGGACCUCAUCAGAGCACGUGGGGCAACCCCCAGUCCUCCACACUCACAUCAGUACUGCAUGAUUCUCUCGAGGAAUCAAACAGGAGCGAUUAUGGGGAGGACUAACGGCUUCUCUCUUUAUUCCGUUGUAAAGCUUUUAAAGUCUGCUUAUAUUUAGUGUUCUUCAGAGCUUUUUUCAAAAAUGGGAUUAAUUAGAGAAAGAAGAUUCAGCUUGGAUGGAGGGAGGAAAGAAAGA